AUGGCAAAAGCUAUACCACAAUCAUUCCCAAACACUGUCCACAAGCUAUGCCACUGGCACAUCCUCAAGAAGUUCAAGGAAUACCUCGCGUUGCUGUACAAAAAGUAUACAACAUUCAAAGAGGAGUUCACACCCAUCUUGAACUGGCUGCUAAUGCCAACCGAGUUUGAAGAUGCUUGGGCUGCACUCGUGCAGAAGUACAAGCUGCAGAACGAACCGAUGAUGAUGCAGCUAUGGAGUGAUAAGGAAAUGUGGAUAUCGGCAUAUUACAAGAACAUUUUCUGUCCUAGAAUGACUUCCACACAACGAAGCGUGAGCAUGAAUCACGUGCUGAAAAGAGGGGCUGACAAAAUUCCAGACAAGUAUAUCCUGAAACGGUACACAAAGACUGCAAAAUCGCAACCCACAUUUGAUACAAGGGACUACAACACAAUAGCAUCAGUUGGCAGCUCGAAACUCUCAAAGAAAGACAUCCUGCUGCAGCUAAAUUUGAUGGUCAACAAGAAAGCAAUGAGAUGUGAACAACAAUACGACAUAGCAUACUAUGUUCUCAAGAGGCUCGUUGAAGAACUUGACACCAUACAUUCAGCAAAUCAAAGAGAGGCUGACAAAAGAAUGGCUGGAGAGGAUGCUGAAAUUGAAGAUGACCUUGCUUAUUAUGCAGCUGAAAUGCUCCAGACUGUUGCUCAAGCCGAUCAAUGCAAGUAG
rnacentral:rRNA from 1 species